rnacentral:rRNA from 1 species
CACGUAGGGGGCGAGCGUUGUCCGGAUUUAUUGGGCGUAAAGAGCUCGUAGGCGGCUCAGUAAGUCAGGUGUGAAAACUCCAGGCUCAACCUGGAGACGCCACUUGAUACUGCUGUGGCUAGAGUCCGGUAGGGGAGCAUGGAAUUCCUGGUGUAGCGGUGAAAUGCGCAGAUAUCAGGAGGAACACCGGUGGCGAAGGCGGCAUCCUGGACCGACACUGACGCUGAGGCGCGAAAGCUAGGGUAGCAAACGGG